CUCUCGUGGACUUCUUUCCUUUCAUAUCUUCCAGUUUCUAUUUUUAGUGGAGCUACCCCACAUCUAAAUUUAGCAAAUGAACUUCUGUUUUUUAAUGACAUAAUAUUUUGCAAAUAAUUUUCAGUACAAUAGUUAUUUUUAAACAAUUUGUAAGUCCUCAAUUUACUUCCCUCUGCAUAUGCAGCAACUCUUGUACACCAAUUUGAUUUAAAAUUAUCAAAUACAUCUUCUUCAAUUUGUUUAAUACAAUUUUUGUUCAAUACAUUUAAUUCAAAAUU
rnacentral:lncRNA from 1 species